CGGCUGCUAGCUCAAUCGGUAGAGCGUGAGACUCUUAAUCUCAAGGUUGUGGGUUCGACCCCCACGUCGG
rnacentral:tRNA from 1 species